rnacentral:rRNA from 1 species
UACGUAGGGUGCGAGCGUUAAUCGGAAUUACUGGGCGUAAAGCGUGCGUAGGCGGUCCGCGAAGUCUGAUGUGAAAGCCCCGGGCUCAACCUGGGAACUGCAUUGGAAACUGACGGGCUCGAGUGUGGCAGAGGGGGGUGGGAAUUCCACGUGUAGCAGUGAAAUGCGUAGAGAUGUGGAGGAACACCGAUGGCGAAGGCAGCCCCCUGGGCUAACACUGACGCUCAGGCACGAAAGCGUGGGGAGCAAACAGG